GGUGCAGCCGCUAUUAAGGGUUCGUUUGUUCAACGAUUAACAGUCCUACGUGAUCUGAGUUCAGACCGGAGCAAUCCAGGUCGGUUUCUAUCUAUGAUGAACUUAUCCUAGUACGAAAGGACCGGAAAAGUAGGGCCAAUACUUCAAGCACGCCCUAUCUACAAGCAAUGAAUCCAACUAAAUUACUAAAAGCACACCCACAUAACUUUAUCCUAGAAAAGGACAGCUAGCGUGGCAGAGCUUGGUAAAUGCAAAAGGCUUAAACCCUUUACUCAGAGGUUCAAAUCCUCUCCCUAGCCUAUUUUG
rnacentral:ncRNA from 1 species